UACAGAGGUCCCAAGCGUUGUUCGGAUUCACUGGGCGUAAAGGGUGCGUAGGUGGCCGUGUAAGUUCGAUGUGAAAGCUCGGAGCUUAACUCCGAAAUGGCAUUGAAUACUCUACGGCUGGAGGGACGGAGGGGAGACUGGAAUUCUCGGUGUAGCAGUGAAAUGCGUAGAUAUCGAGAGGAACACCAGUGGCGAAGGCGAGUCUCUGGACGACACCUGACACUGAGGCACGAAAGCUAGGGGAGCAAACAGG
rnacentral:rRNA from 1 species